UGCGGAAUUUUAGAUAAUGGAGGGAACUCUGAUCUAGCGACGCCGCGUGCAGGAAGAAGGUCUUCGGAUUGUAAACUGCUGUGGUAAGGGAAAAAUGCUAUGUAGAGUGGAAAGCUACAUAGAGGGAUGGUACCUUACUAGAAAGCCCCGGCUAACUACGUGCCAGCAGCCGCGGUAAUACGUAGGGGGCGAGCGUUACCCGGAAUCACUGGGCGUAAAGGGAGCGUAGGUGGCCUAACAUGUCAACUGUGAAAACCCGGAGCUCAACUCCGGACUUGCAGUUGAAACAGGUAGGCUUGAGGACGGUAGAGGACGACGGAACUGCCAGUGUAGGGGUAAAAUCCUUAGAUAUUGGCAGGAACGCCGGUGAAGAAGGUGGUUUUCUGGGCCGGUUCUGACACUGAUGCUCGAAAGCCAGGGGAGCGAACGG
rnacentral:rRNA from 1 species